rnacentral:lncRNA from 1 species
GGAGCGGGUAGGCAACCGACACAUGAGCUCAUGGCCUGCGUUAGGGAUAGACAUGCAUCAUGUUGUUUGCACAUUUGCAUUUGAUUGCGCUUGCUUGUCUUAUUAUUUUGUGAUUGUAUUGUUUGUCUUGUUGUGACUUGCUUGUACAUUGAAUUGAAUCUCUUGCUUGCACUACUUGUUUGUGAGUGUAUUAAAGUAAUUACGAGUUGACAUUUGACUGAGGAUUAAUAUGUGGCUGAGAGACAGAAAAUGUGACUAAUUUAUAUUUAAGUUUUGUUUUGAGUUAAGAGUAUUUUCAAAGGGUUUGAUAAAAAUAUAUUUUUUUAUUGAGUAAAGUUAAUUAUUUGCAUUUUAUUCCAUUACUUUUACGGCAUUCUCAUUCCCUACUGAG